ACUCGCUUCCUGCAGUUCGGCAAAUAUAUAUUUCGAGACUAAGUCGAGUGAACACGAGGGAAAUAAAAUUAUACGUCGGUGCAGUGUGGUCAUCUUACAGUCGGACAUAAUUAUUUCUUUUAUUACCUAUUUUUCCUUUUUUACUAAGAUUGCUUUAGUAGGUGGAUUUAGAAUAGACAAUUAUUAGAUGUGCACCUGGGUAAUUACCACUACUAGAAACCUCCACGUGCCCUCUCCCUUUCUCAAUUUCCAAGUCUCUCUCUCUCCUCUACUAGUCCUCCAUCGAACACAACACACACCAAUACUAGUCCACCAAGAACAGAACACACCAGUUCAAAAAAAAAAAGAACAGAACACACGCACAUGUCUUCUCUCCCUCCUAUUCCUCUGCUCCUAACCUAGACAGAUCGGCCACGCCGCCAGCGAUGGGAACAUGCUGCUCCGCCACUGCCGGACCUCUCUCUCUCUCCCCUGAUCCCAAAUCCCUAAUCUCUAAUCCCCUCUCAGAUUUGACUUGGAGGUUAGGUUCUUGUUGUGCUGUGAUUCAUCUGCUCCAGAUUGAAGCUGUCGGUGUUGGUGUCUGCGGUGCCGCUGGGUGUUGCAGAUAAGAAUUCAAAGGCAUGGCCAUGGAGCAGAUCGAGCAUAAGUGCGGAUAGAAAGAUGAAGACAGUGGGAGGAAGACAAGCUGCUGGUUUGGCUAUUUGGGGAAAAAUGGAGAUGUGUGAAGUCUUGGCAAUGGCUUGCUCUGCUGUCUCUUCUUUUAAUAUCAGAAAACCAUCUUCCUUGGCUGGUAUGGCUGCCCAUCCCCUUCUCCAUUGUUCUCACAGGUGCUAGCUUCUAAUUGGCUGAAGGUUGAAGCCCAUACAUAGACUAUAUUGCUGACCCAUUGACUAUUAAUCUAUUGUGCACGUGAGGGUGGUGGUCAGUGUGUGUCUCAAAUGUGUCCUGCUAUUCUGGUUGACCCAGAGAUAUUUUUAGGUUGGUCUAAGUUUGUUUGGCAUUGUUGUAUAGAUUAGCAUAGUUUAGUCUCCCUCCAUUUUCUUUUUCCAAAGAUUUGUAAUACACUUGUACAGCUGUACUGUUUGAGGUGUAUGAAUAUAAAUAUAUAUUUGAGUGGUUA